GAUGAACGCUGGCGGCGUGCCUAAUACAUGCAAGUCGAGCGAACAGACGAGGAGCUUGCUCCUCUGACGUUAGCGGCGGAAGGGUGAGUAACACGUGGAUAACCUACCUAUAAGACUGGGAUAACUUCGGGAAACCGGAGCUAAUACCGGAUAAUAUAUUGAACCGCAUGGUUCAAUAGUGAAAGACGGUUUUGCUGUCACUUAUAGAUGGAUCCGCGCCGCAUUAGCUAGUUGGUAAGGUAACGGCUUACCAAGGCAACGAUGCGUAGCCGACCUGAGAGGGUGAUCGGCCACACUGGAACUGAGACACGGUCCAGACUCCUACGGGAGGCAGCAGUAGGGAAUCUUGCGCAAUGGGCGAAAGCCUGACGGAGCAACGCCGCGUGAGUGAUGAAGGUCUUCGGAUCGUAAAACUCUGUUAUUAGGGAAGAACAAAUGUGUAAGUAAAUAUGCACGUCUUGACGGUACCUAAUCAGAAAGCCACGGCUAACUACGUG
rnacentral:rRNA from 1 species